rnacentral:rRNA from 1 species
UACGUAGGGUGCAAGCGUUGUCCGGAAUUAUUGGGCGUAAAGGGCUCGUAGGCGGUUUGUCGCGUCGGGAGUGAAAACUCAGGGCUCAACCCUGAGCGUGCUUCCGAUACGGGCAGACUAGAGGUAUGCAGGGGAGAACGGAAUUCCUGGUGUAGCGGUGGAAUGCGCAGAUAUCAGGAGGAACACCGGUGGCGAAGGCGGUUCUCUGGGCAUGACCUGACGCUGAUGCGCGACAGCAUGGGGAGCAAACAGG